CGCCUGGCGUCAGCGACCGGUGCAGACAGGAAGAGGCUCUAGGCGGGCACAUGUGUAUGGCGGCGAGGCGGGCGGGUACAUGGCGGGCUCUGUGGGACUGGCGUUGUGCGGGCAGACGCUGGUGGUGCGGGGCGGCAGCCGAUUCCUGGCCACCUCCACAGCAAGCAGUGACGAUGACAGCCUCUUCAUCUAUGACUGCAGUGCUGCGGAAAAGAAGUCACAAGAAAAUAAAGGGGAGGACGCGCCCUUGGACCAGGGGAGCGGUGUGAUUCUGGCGUCCACCUUCUCCAAGUCUGGCAGCUAUUUUGCUUUAACUGAUGACAGUAAGCGUCUGAUUCUUUUCCGUACAAAACCAUGGCAAUGUCUGAGUGUCAGGACUGUGGCGAGGAGGUGUACAGCCCUGACCUUCAUAGCCUCUGAGGAGAAGGUCUUGGUGGCCGACAAGUCUGGAGACGUCUACUCCUUUUCGGUGCUGGAGCCACACGGGUGUGGCCAUCUAGAGCUGGGGCACCUGUCCAUGCUGUUAGAUGUGGCUGUGAGUCCUGAUGACCGCUUCAUCCUCACUGCCGACCGAGACGAGAAGAUCCGAGUCAGCUGGGCCGCGGCGCCCCACAGCAUCGAGUCCUUCUGCUUGGGGCACACAGAGUUUGUGAGCCGCAUCUCCGUGGUGCCCACUCAGCCCGGACUGCUUCUGUCCUCCUCUGGGGACGGCACCCUGAGGCUCUGGGAGUACAGGAGCGGCCGCCAGCUGCACUGCUGUCACCUGGCCAAUCUACAGGAGCUGGUGGACCCCCAGGCCCCCCAGAGGUUUGCUGCAUCCAGGAUUGCGUUCUGGUGCCAGGAGAACUGCGUGGCGCUUCUGUGUGACGGCACUCCUGUGGUCUACAUCUUCCAGCUGGACGCCCGCAGACAGCAGUUGGUGUACAGGCAGCAGCUGGCGCUCCAGCACCAAGUGUGGGACAUGGCUUUCGAGGAGACCCAGGGCCUGUGGGUGCUCCAGGACUGCCAGGAAGCACCCCUGGUGCUCUACAGGCCUGUGGACGGCCAGUGGCAGUCUGUUCCUGAGAGCGCCGUGUUAAAGAAAGUCUCUGGUGUUCUUCGUGGGAACUGGGCCAUGCUGGAAGGUGAGAGCACAGGUACAGGCUGCCCUUGGGGGUCACACCCAGCGCGGUCCCCAGAGAAAGCAGAAGCACACACUGUGACCCGCCCGAGGGACCCGGUGUGCAGAUAAAGAGGGAGGGUCAGCAUGUGUACCCAUCCAGAAGGCGGGCCGGGGCAGGAGGAGGGUGGCGCACAGGAGAAGGAGGACCCCCCCCAUGGGAGUCAGGCUGACGAGAGCCACGCAGGAACCGGGGGCUCAGGGUCUGAGCAGCAUCCCCCGCUCCCCACCUGCCUUCAGAGUUGGGCAUUGAAGGUCCCCAGGGCAGGGCUGGCAUCUGGUGGCUCCCAGAGGGAACGGGUGCUGUGCUGCCUCGGGCCUGGUCCAUGGUGUUGAGGGAAUUGAUCCCACUACAGCGUGCGUCAGCAAGUGCAGGACCCCACUGGGAGGUCAGGUGGGGGUCCAGCCAGAGGCGUGGGGGUCUUCAGGAGGCUGAGCAGGGGCUGGAUGGUCACUGUCCUGACGGGAACAUUCAGCUGAGGGGAGGGAAUCUGGUCAGCAACUUGUGUGGCUGCGGCUGCAGGAAGGAGAGCAGCCGGGCUGAGGGAGGAGCUGGACGAACAUUUUCGGGGGACAUGGCGCAUUGUUCUGGGUGCGCCGUUGCGCCAGCACUGCGCUGUCUUGGAGGCGAUGGUGUCUGCAGGAUGGGUUAGCCCAGCACGGAAUCCUAGUACCUCAUUCACGACAAGAAGUUGCUGCUCUGAGGAAGUCUUGCAAAGCCAGACCCGCUGCAGUGAGCACUGAGGUUCCUUGGAGCUCUGGAGGGAAUCAAACGCAGGUCGGAGGAAUUUCCGCUGACGGUGGCCCGAUCGCCUUCUGCCAAGCUUCCUGAGUGGUGGUGGCGCACUGGCUCUGCCUCUGAGGCUUCUCUCCCUCCUGCUUUGCUUAGGAUGUUGAGGGUUGAGACAGGCAGGGUUGGGCCCCCCCAGUGUGGUUGGGAUCUGCUUUAGGAACACUCCGAGUGGGCCUGUCACCGGCUGUGUCAGGGACUGCAGGCGGCAGUGCUCAUGGCUGGGCAUCUGCAGUGCUCAUGGCCCCCGUGCUCUAGGCCACAGGUAGCCUGGACCUGUUGAGUGUCAUCUUGCACAACAUUCUCAGGCCAAAGCCUGGGCUCGCUCUCCUGAGACGUUUCAUAGAUAGGGUGGCACGUUCCCGACGCAGACUUGGGGGCCUUGUUGGGAGAGGGAUGGGGGAGGGCUGCUUCUUGAGUGUCCCACAAGCAGCAGAGUCACUGGAGGGGCGGGGAGGCUGCGCCACCUGCCGGAUGAACGGGCUUCAGGCCAUCGCUGGUGCGUGAGUUACCGGCUAGGCCUGUGGUUUCCUGGCCAGGCUGAGGCCGUCUCUGUGCCUGUGGUCAGUCAUUGCCCCCCAGUCCUUGGCAGUUAGAUAAAGUAGAUGAAAUCCAUGUCCAUUCCCUGUGGCUGCAGAACAUGUUAUCCCACACUCGAUGCCUUAAGGCACCCCACCCUGAGCGUCUCACUGUUGCUGUGGGUCAGGGGUCUGGACUCCGCUGAGCUGUGUCUCUGCAGGUGGCCACCUCAACUUCACCAGGCAGGGCCCGACCUCGCUCAGUCCGGGUUGUCGGCAGGACAGGGGGCCUCUCUGGCUGUUGGCCAGAGGCCGCUGCUCCCAAUCCCUGGCCACCUGGGCUGCUUCAGUGGGCGGCGCAUGGUGCAGUAGUGGCUUUCUCUGGGCGCGUGAACAGAGAGUGCUGGCAGGGUGGAGGCCCAGCCUUGGUGCCCUGGUUUCCGAUACAUUCUUUCGUCUUUGCCCCAUUCUGUUAGGAGGCAGUCCUCAGGUCCAGCCAGGGUGUGGGUGCCAGGAGGCUCUGCUGGUGCGGACGCCAACUUCAGCAGUCUCUACAAGGCCACGUUCGACAACAUGACCUCCUACCUGAAG